rnacentral:rRNA from 1 species
CACGUAGGCGGCAUUGCAAGUCGGAUGUGAAAUCCCUCGGCUUAACCAAGGAAGUGCAUCCGAAACUGCCGUGCUUGAGUACGAAAGAGGAUCGCGGAAUUCCCGGUGUAGAGGUGAAAUUCGUAGAUAUCGGGAGGAACACCAGUGGCGAAGGCGGCGAUCUGGGUCGAUACUGACGCUGAGGUGCGAAAGCGUGGGGAGCAAACA